rnacentral:sRNA from 1 species
CGCGCUUGGUUGAAAAGC